GGACUACACGGGUUUCUAAUCCUGUUUGCUCCCCACGCUUUCGCACAUGAACGUCAGUAUUCGACCAGGAAGUCGCUUUCGCCACUGGUGUUCCUUCCGAUAUCUACGCAUUUCACCGCUACACCGGAAAUUCCACUUCCCUCUUCGAUACUCUAGCCAGGCAGUAUCAAAUGCAGUUCCCAGGUUGAGCCCGGGGAUUUCACAUCUGACUUACCAAACCGUCUACGCGCGCUUUACGCCCAGUAAUUCCGAUUAACGCUCGCACCCUCUGUAUUACCGCGGCUGCUGGCAC
rnacentral:rRNA from 1 species